rnacentral:rRNA from 1 species
CAGUAGCCGCGGUAAUACGUAUGUCACAAGCGUUAUCCGGAUUUAUUGGGCGUAAAGCGCGUCUAGGUGGUUAUGUAAGUCUGAUGUGAAAAUGCAGGGCUCAACUCUGUAUUGCGUUGGAAACUGUGUAACUAGAGUACUGGAGAGGUAAGCGGAACUACAAGUGUAGAGGUGAAAUUCGUAGAUAUUUGUAGGAAUGCCGAUGGGGAAGCCAGCUUACUGGACAGAUACUGACGCUAAAGCGCGAAAGCGUGGGUAGCAAACAGGAUUAGAUACCCGUGUAGUCCCUGUCUCUUAUACA